CGGUGAAUACGUUCCCGGACCUUGCACACACCGCCCGUCAAGCCCAUGGAAGCUGGGUGUACCUAAAGUCGGUAACCGUAAGGAGCCGCCUAGGGGUAAAAACUAGUGACUGGGGCU
rnacentral:rRNA from 1 species